rnacentral:rRNA from 1 species
CCUGCCCAAUGCAGGAUAAGAGUGAAUGGCCGCGGUACUUUGACCGUGCUAAGGUAGCGUAAUCAGUUGGCUUUUAAUUGGAGUCGGGAAUGAAUGGGCUUACCGGGUCAAGCUGUCUCCUCGCUAAUAUUUUGAAUUUACUUUAUAGGUGAAAAAGCCUAUUCGACGAAAAAGGACGAGAAGACCCUUAGAAUUUUUCUAAAAACUUGGUGUCAGUAUAGAAGAAAGCUAGGUUAGGUUUUGUUGGGGUGACAAAGAACAUAAAUUUUAACUUUCUUUUACAGGGUAACAUGCCGAUUAUGUUAUGGCAGGAUAAAUUACCUGAGGGAUAACAGCAUAAUUUUACAAUAAAGUUUGUGACCUCGAUGUUGGACUAGGAAACUGGCAAGCUAGCCGUUUGUUAUGUUGGUUCUGUUCGAACUUGUAAUUCCU